rnacentral:rRNA from 1 species
AUUGAACGCUGGCGGCAGGCCUAACACAUGCAAGUCGAGCGGAUGAAGGGAGCUUGCUCCUGGAUUCAGCGGCGGACGGGUGAGUAAUGCCUAGGAAUCUGCCUGGUAGUGGGGGAUAACGUCCGGAAACGGGCGCUAAUACCGCAUACGCCCUGAGGGAGAAAGUGGGGGAUCUUCGGACCUCCCGCUAUCAGAUGAGCCUAGGUCGGAUUAGCUAGUUGGUGGGGUAAAGGCCUACCAAGGCGACGAUCCGUAACUGGUCUGAGAGGAUGAUCAGUCACACUGGAACUGAGACACGGUCCAGACUCCUACGGGAGGCAGCAGUGGGGAAUAUUGGACAAUGGGCGAAAGCCUGAUCCAGCCAUGCCGCGUGUGUGAAGAAGGUCUUCGGAUUGUAAAGCACUUUAAGUUGGGAGGAAGGGCAGUAAGUUAAUACCUUGCUGUUUUGACGGUACCAACAGAAUAAGCACCGGCUAACUUCGUG